GCUGCGCUAUAAACACAGGCUGCCCAAGAGGGAGUCAUCGGUAAUAAUGAAAUGCACGGUGGGAACCUCGACACACUGCACCAUAAAUCUAAAUCACUAACGUCAGCAGGACGUGGGACUUCAGCUGAAACAAAAGACCUUGGACCUGCUGGAGGAAAAAAGAUGAUAAAAACAGCUCUUAGUUGAAUUGGAGACUUGCUGAGCAAAAGCCUUUCUUAUCUUGGCUUGAUCAACCUGGAUCUUAAAAAAGGGUUUUCCAGUCUCUACCCACUUAUGUUGAUGUGACUUAUCAAAUGAGCGGUAAUACAAGAAGGAUUUCAAGUUGGGAUGUUAAGUGAGGAAGCUGUCCAAGCUGGGGUCUAUAACAUCCUGAAGGCAGAUAGUGCCAGCCACCAAACCAGGGCAAGGCUGUACAAGCUAAAAACAGAACUCAGCUUUACCAACCCCUUCACCUGGUGCCAUGGAAAGCCAAAAGCCUUGUCUUGGUUGAUAAAACAACUGCAUUCCAAG